CAGCUUGACUGCGAGCGUGACGGCGCGAGCAGGUGCGAAAGCAGGUCAUAGUGAUCCGGUGGUUCUGAAUGGAAGGGCCAUCGCUCAACGGAUAAAAGGUACUCCGGGGAUAACAGGCUGAUACCGCCCAAGAGUUCAUAUCGACGGCGGUGUUUGGCACCUCGAUGUCGGCUCAUCACAUCCUGGGGCUGAAGUAGGUCCCAAGGGUAUGGCUGUUCGCCAUUUAAAGUGGUACGCGAGCUGGGUUUAGAACGUCGUGAGACAGUUCGGUCCCUAUCUGCCGUGGGCGCUGGAGAACUGAGGGGGGCUGCUCCUAGUACGAGAGGACCGGAGUGGACGCAUCACUGGUGUUCGGGUUGUCAUGCCAAUGGCACUGCCCGGUAGCUAAAUGCGGAAGAGAUAAGUGCUGAAAGCAUCUAAGCACGAAACUUGCCCCGAGAUGAGUUCUCCCUGAGACUUAGAGUCUCCUGAAGGAACGUUGAAGACGACGACG
rnacentral:rRNA from 1 species